rnacentral:rRNA from 1 species
UGGAUCCAGACUUUGAUUCUGGCUCAGGAUGAACGCUAGCUACAGGCCUAACACAUGCAAGUCGAGGGGCAGCAUGGCGGUCGCUUGCGACCGCCGAUGGCGACCGGCGAAUGGGUGAGUAACGCGUAUCCAACCUGCCCCGCGCCCGGGGAUAGCCCUUGGAAAUGAGGAUUAAGACCCGAUAUGUGCCCUGGCCGCAUGGCCGGGACAUGAAGCAGACGCGGGAUGGGGAUGCGUUGGAUUAGCCAGCCGGCAGGGCAGCGGCCUACCGGGGCGACGAUCCAUAGGGGUUCUGAGAGGAAGGUCCCCCACACUGGCACUGAGACACGGGCCAGACUCCUACGGGAGGCAGCAGUGAGGAAUAUUGGUCAAUGGGCGAGAGCCUGAACCAGCCAAGUAGCGUGCAGGAUGACGGCCCUACGGGUUGUAAACUGCUUUUGCGGGAGAAUAACCGGCGCCACGCGUGGCGCCCUGCAGGUAUCCCGUGAAUAAGGACCGGCUAAUUCCGUGCCAGCAGCCGCGGUAAUACGGAAGGUCCGGGCGUUAUCCGGAUUUAUUGGGUUUAAAGGGAGCGCAGGCGGAGGAUCAAGCCAGCCGUGAAAUGGCGGCGCUCAACGCCGUCCGGCGGUUGGAACUGGUCCCCUUGAUUGCGGGAGAGGAAGGCGGAACUCGUGGUGUAGCGGUGAAAUGCAUAGAUAUCACGAAGAACCCCGAUUGCGAAGGCAGCCUUCCGGCCCGUGAAUGACGCUCACGCUCGAAGGCGCGGGUAUCAAACAGGAUUAGAUACCCUGGUAGUCCGCGCGGUAAACGAUGAAUGCUCGGGAUUCGGGCUUUAUGUCUGAGUCCCCCAGCGAAAGCGUUAAGCAUUCCACCUGGGGGGUACGCCGGCAACGGUGCAACUCAAAUGAAUUGACGGA